rnacentral:misc_RNA from 1 species
GAUGAAGAACGUAGCGAAAUGCGAUAAGUAAUGCGAAUUGCAGAAUUCAGUGAAUCAUCGAAUCUUUGAACGCACAUUGCGCCCGCUAGUAUUCUGGCGGGCAUGCCUGUCUGAGCGUCAUUUCAACCCUCGCCCCCGGCUUUUGCUGGGAGCGGUGUUGGGGAUCGGCCGCCCGUCACUGGGAGGCCGGCCCCGAAAUAGAGUGGCGACCACGCCGUGUGCUCCUCUGCGUAGUAGUAAAUCACCUCGCAGGCGGACAGCGGUGCGGCCUGCCGUAAAACCCCCAACUCUUUCUGGUUGACCUCAGAUCAGGUAGGAAUACCCGCUGAACUUAAGCAUAUCAAUAACGGAGGA